UACAGAGGUCUCAAGCGUUUGUUCGGAUUCAUUGGGCGUAAAGGGUGCGUAGGCGGCGCGGUAAGUCGGGUGUGAAAUCUCGGAGCUUAACUCCGAAACUGCAUUCGAUACUGCCGUGCUUGAGGACUGGAGAGGAGACUGGAAUUUACGGUGUAGCGGUGAAAUGCGUAGAUAUCGUAAGGAAGACCAGUGGCGAAGGCGGGUCUCGUGGACAGUUCCUGACGCUGAGGCACGAAGGUCAGGGGAGCAAAACGGG
rnacentral:rRNA from 1 species